CUGGGGAAAUACUAUAAACUUCUUUUAUAUUUCUUAUCUUAAUAUAGCUUCAACUCCUCUCUUUACCAAAAAAAAAAUCCAUCUUGUUAAUUAUUCAUGGCUAGCAAGAACAAUUUUCACAAUUCUUGCUAGGCAACCCAUUAAUAUCGGUGGUCAAGAUUGUUGAGAUAUUGGUCAGGAAGAGAACAUCUAGCAUGAAGCAAGAUGA
rnacentral:lncRNA from 1 species